rnacentral:SRP_RNA from 1 species
GCUGAGCUGAGUUACUCCAGCUUGUGACCCAAGUGGGAGCAUCAAUGUGAUGGAACAACACUGAGACUUUCUGGGUUGGGCUGUGUCUGCAAUAUGUUGGCCUGCCCAUUCCAAGUUGAGAGUUAAGUCUGGGGACCUUAGUGAAGGCAUAGGUCUCUUUACUCUUAGAGUGGAGGCACAGCGUGAGGCUGGUUUCACAGAGCAGCGACCACCUCCCACUCCCAACAGUGGAGGGAUCACAGGCUGCUGCAUCCACAGUCUUAAUGGCCUGGUGAGUCUUAGUCUGCCUGGACCAUCACUUUU